rnacentral:rRNA from 1 species
GACGAACGCUGGCGGCGUGCCUAAUACAUGCAAGUAGAACGCUGAAGGAGGAGCUUGCUUCUCUGGAUGAGUUGCGAACGGGUGAGUAACGCGUAGGUAACCUGCCUGGUAGCGGGGGAUAACUAUUGGAAACGAUAGCUAAUACCGCAUAAUAGUAGAUGUUGCAUGACAUUCGCUUAAAAGGUGCAAUUGCAUCACUACCAGAUGGACCUGCGUUGUAUUAGCUAGUUGGUGGGGUAACGGCUCACCAAGGCGACGAUACAUAGCCGACCUGAGAGGGGGAUCGGCCACCCUGGGACUGAGACACGGCCCAGGCUCCUACGGGGGGCAGCAGUAGGGAAUCUUCGGCAAUAGACGGAAGUCUGACCGAGCAACGCCGCGGGAGUGAAGAAGGUUCUCGGAUCGUAAAGAUCUGUUGUAAGAGAAGAACGAGUGUGAGAGUGGAAAGUUCACACUGUGACGGUAUCUUACCAGAAAGGGACGGCUAACUACGUG